CGAGUAUGGACCCUGAUAUGGUCUGGCUCUGUGUCCUCACCCAGAUCUCAUCUUGAGUUGUAACUGAAUUGUAAUCCUCAUGUGUUGGUUGGCAGAGGGACCUCGUGGAGGUGAUGAGAUCAUGGGGGCGGUUCCCCCAUGCUGUUCUCAAGACAGUGAAUGAGUCUCAUGUGAUCUGAUGGUCUCAUAAGGGCUUUUCCCCCUUUUGCUCUGUGCUCAUUCUUUCUCCUGUCACCCUGUGAGGAGGUGCCUUCCGCCAUGAUUGUAAGUUUCCUGGGGCUUUCCCAACCAGGCGGAACGCCAGCCCACUCGCCUGCCUGGAGGGUUUGAAGUAUUCUCUAGGCUCAGGGGGAGAGCUCCUUCUGGCUAGUCUUAGAUCACGGGAGCUGAUAGAACGCCAGAAUGAUCCAGCCCAGCCCCCUCAUAUAGCAGAUGGGAAACAGUUUCUGGUUGCCUUCGAAACCUCCUGCCUGUGCCUUUAGAGCAGACCUCUUCAUCUUCCUGAGCUGCUCGGCAUGGAUGGCAGGGCUCACACGCAGCCUGUCUGCUCCUGUCCAGGCUGCUGAGGACUGUAACCGAAGCCCAUUAGCUGACCGGGAGGGAUAAAUCCAGCUCCUCUGACAACUGCUUCUCGCUGGUCUUCUCUGGGGACAGACAGCCCUCCCCACCCACCCCCUGCUGCUCCUUAAUAUAACUCUGAAGUCAUGCCUAGUGCUCAGAGGAUGGCUUGGGAAGAGAACUUGGGCCUGGGUUCCCCGGUGAUUGGGGGCACAGGGUGGUGGUGGCUGGAGCAGGAGCGUGAAGCCCCAGGCUUCACUCGCAGGGAGUGAGGGGGGCUUGUCUUGGGGCAGUGUCCUGGCACCAUUGAGCUGGGGGUUAACUCAGAGCCAUGAUCCCCCUCAGGUUGCCUGCAAAGUACCCCGGGGCUGAACUCAUGGGGGAUUUUGGGAGAGAGCUGGCUUUCGUCAGAUCCUCAAAGGGAUCCUUGAACUAAGAGGUAAAGAGGCCCCAGUCCGAGGUGCCUGUCUGCCGGCUGCCUGCGACGCUGCAGGGAAGGUCCUGGUACCUGCUCAGAGGGUCUCCCCACCCUCCUGGUCUGCAGGCCCCGCCUGGAGCACUCUCUGCCCCCACUUCCUU
rnacentral:lncRNA from 1 species